UCCUGAGAAUCCCCUGAAGUAUCUGUAUCCAAAUAUUGACAAAGACCAUGCCUUUGGAAAGUAUUACUCCAGGCCAAAGGAAGCACCAGAGCCAAUGGAACUUGAUGGCCCUAAAGGAACUGGAUAUAUCAAGACUGAGUUGAUUUCUGUGUCUGAAGUCACUGUCUUGGGGUGAAUGGAUGUAGCCUUCAUGUAAAAACACUGUGUGGAGCAGCUUUAUCUGCAUUCAAACCUCAAGUCACCCUUCUAGACUUCAGACCACAGACAACCUGCUCCCCAUGUCUCCUGAGGAGUUUGACGAGGUGUCUCGGAUAGUGGGCUCUGUAGAAUUCGACAGUAUGAUGAACACAGUAUAGAGCAUGAAUUUUUUUCAUCUUCUCUGGCGACAGUUUUCCUUCUCAUCUGUGAUUCCCUCCUGCUACUCUGUUCCUUCACAUCCUGUGUUUCUAGGGAAAUGAAAGAAAGGCCAGCAAAUUC
rnacentral:lncRNA from 1 species